GACACAGUGGACCUGGCUGAGCUGUGUGCAGUGUUCCUUUUAAGGCAAAAUGAGAGCAUUCAUAAACUACAGUUAAUACGGAAAAGGAGAUGGUGACUCUGUGCAAGAACAAUGAGUUAAGCCCGGCCCUCCAGGCCUGCCCCUUGGCGCCGGGUCUGGAACAAGCCCUUGUGAAAACUAUUGUACCCCACUGCUUUAGAUCCUUCUUCAUCAUUGUCAAAAGUCAAAAAGUCCUAUUUUCUCCAUUGUAGUGUUUUACAAAUGACCAAAUCGUCCAUGCAGAUCAGUAGGAUAUGGGAUGGGAUUCUUUGGGAAAAUUUCUGUCAUAGUAAAAAGAUAUGCACUAUGAAGAUAUUUGUUAGUUGUUCACAACUGCCUCAUCUUGAUGUAACCGUUUUCUGUUUGAUGUGCGUCUCACUCCAAGGUACCUAUGUCCAGUGGCAAGACAGGCCCAAACCAACAACCCUCUAACACUGUGCUUGAUAGUUGGUAUGAGAUAUUCAAACUGUGCUUGGUUUUCACUAAACACGCAGUGGUGUAAAAUUUCAAAAUAUUUUAUUGAGGUGACGACCAAGAGCGGAGAGGCUUUCUUUUGGCAACCUUUCCAAACAUGUUAUACUGCCAGUCUUUUUUAAUUGUACUAUUGUGAACUUUAAUAUUUAAUAAACUAACAAAAGCCUUUAGAGUCACAGAUGUACCUCUUGUAUUGUUUUUCUACUUCAAAUUAUUUUAAUGUUCUGUGGUUUGACCUUCAAUAAAUUUGUAUGAUGUCCA